rnacentral:snRNA from 1 species
AUCUCUGGCUCCUUUGCAUUUAAUCGAGAAAAUCUUUCGCCUUUUACUAAAGAUUUCCGUGUAAAUGAGCAUAUUAUGAGUUUCCAACAAUUUUUGGAAUCCUCUCGAAAGAGCGGGA